UUAGCUGUGAAAAAGAAAGGGAUAAGUACUGAGUGAGGGGUCAGACUUCUAAUUCAUAUUUCUUGUAGUGCAUGUGUCCCGUAAAAUGUUUUGUACAUAAAUGUUCUAUUGAAAAUUAUAUUUUGUUCAUAUAAGAUUUUAAAAUGAAGAUAUUGAACUGUCUUUAAUUUACAAACCAAUACUUUCUCUACCUUCUAACUGUAUUUCCUGUAUGUGAAAGUUAGAAAGUUGAGGAAACUCGGGGCCACUCGCAGCAAGUGGCGUUUUGGUCAUGGAUGCGAACGUCCCGUUGAAUGAUUUCUUUCAGCGCAGCUGUGAAUGCGUGCUUUGUCCUGAGGAUCUGGCUACACAGCUGUGUCACUGGAAGUGUGUUGCUCUGUAGCUUCCUUAAAAACUCAGCAGCUCGUUCAGGAAAUUGACUUGGUCUAAGCUGUGUAAAGUCCUAGAACGCGCAGUGGACUGAACACUGGCCAGCCUCAGCAGUUCUGGCGGAUAAGCAGGCUCUGGGGGACCUGUCUUCUUUGGGGAGUGUUUGACUCACAGCCUCGCUGGCCAGCGAUGCCCUUGCCUCUGGGAGCGUGUCUCAACAAGACCCUGUCAUCCACUUAAUAUUUGCCCAGCCCUCACUGAGACAGUUAUAAAAAUCCAACUAUUAGGAGACACCGAGGGCGUCAGCAAGAAGGGCAACGUAACUUUUUGCUUUGACUUUUGAGGAAAAGUUGUAGAAACCCGAGGAAACUUUUAAAGAAGAGAAAGCAUCAAAGUGAUUUAGUAACAGCGAAAGAAGGCGGCCACAGGCUACCGUUACCUUCACGGAGCUAAGGCUCCUCAUGGUCAACGUCAGCAGCACAAGCACCCGUGGACUGGGUGUGGCAGAACAGGGAGAGGCCACAGUGCCGGAGCCACGUUUCCCAGGCCGUGGCCACUCCUCACUACAAGCUGUGCUGGAGAGGACUGAACAGCCGGCAGCUUUCUUUUUAACAUGUCGUAUUUCUGGGUCAAAAUUUGGGGAGUGUGAAAGCCAUCACCCAGCUGAUACACUUGAGACUUCCCACCCCCUGCUUACCAGAGGCGCCUGGGGGAAGGGAAGCUGAGGGAAGAAGGGCAGGAUUUGUGGUGGGUAAAAGCUGAAUCUCUGUAAAAGGAAGCACAGUGUGAGUCGGUCUGAUUAUUAACGACAGCUUUGAAGUGAAGAACAUGCUAUUUGAAUGUACACGUGUACCUGUUCACUGGAACUUCCUCCAGAUUGUCCAAGCUUUAAAAAAAAAGAAGAAAAGCACCAAGGUGAAGCAGCUGGUGACAGCACCUUAUCCAGCAAGACGUUUCAUUUCAUGUGAGAACAGCUAAAAAGCCUUGAGCAUUAUGCCUGUCGGUCAUGUAGCUUCACCUCUGAAAUAAAUUACAUGUUUAACAGGGGA